UUGAACGCUGGCGGCAUGCUUUACACAUGCAAGUCGAACGGCAGCGGGGGCUUCGGCCUGCCGGCGAGUGGCGAACGGGUGAGUAAUGCAUCGGAACGUGCCCAGUCAUGGGGGAUAACUACGCGAAAGCGUAGCUAAUACCGCAUACGCCCUGAGGGGGAAAGCGGGGGAUCGCAAGACCUCGCGUGAUUGGAGCGGCCGAUGUCGGAUUAGCUAGUUGGUGGGGUAAAGGCCUACCAAGGCGACGAUCCGUAGCGGGUCUGAGAGGAUGAUCCGCCACACUGGGACUGAGACACGGCCCAGACUCCUACGGGAGGCAGCAGUGGGGAAUUUUGGACAAUGGGGGCAACCCUGAUCCAGCCAUGCCGCGUGAGUGAAGAAGGCCUUCGGGUUGUAAAGCACUUUUUGGAAGGAAUAGGAAGGAAUGUACUUCCAGAAUAAGUCUCGGCUAACUACGU
rnacentral:rRNA from 1 species